GAUCCUGGCUCAGGAUGAACGCUAGCUACAGGCUUAACACAUGCAAGUCGAGGGGAAACGGACAGAGGAAGCUUGCUUUCUUUGGCGUCGACCGGCGCACGGGUGAGUAACGCGUAUCCAACCUUCCCGCAAGUAAGGGAUAACCCGUAGAAAUGCGGCCUAAUACCUUAUGUUUUCCUUAGAGGGCAUCUGAUGAGGAACAAAGAUCCGUCGCUUGCGGAUGGGGAUGCGUCUGAUUAGUUAGUCGGUCGGGG
rnacentral:rRNA from 1 species